UCCCACCUGACCCCAUGCCGAACUCAGCAGUGAAACGCCGUAGCGCCGAUGGUAGUGUGGGGUCUCCCCAUGUGAGAGUAGGGCACUGCCA
rnacentral:rRNA from 1 species